CCUACGGGGUGCAGCAGUGAGGAAUAUUGGUCAAUGGACGAGAGUCUGAACCAGCCAAGUAGCGUGAAGGAUGACUGCCCUAUGGGUUGUAAACUUCUUUUAUAUGGGAAUAAAACAGGGUAUGCAUACCCUCUUGUAUGUACCAUAUGAAUAAGGAUCGGCUAACUCCGUGCCAGCAGCCGCGGUAAUACGGAGGAUCCGAGCGUUGUCCGGAAUCAUUGGGCGUAAAGAGUUCGUAGGUGGCAUAUUAAGUCUGGUGUUAAAUGCAGAAGCUCAACUUCUGUUCGGCACUGGAUACUGGUAAGCUUGAAUGCGGUAGAGGUAAAGGGAAUUCCUGGUGUAGCGGUGAAAUGCGUAGAUAUCAGGAGGAACAUCGGUGGCGUAAGCGCUUUACUGGGCCGUAAUUGACACUGAGGAACGAAAGCCGGGGUAGCAAACAGGAUUAGAUACCCGAGUAGUC
rnacentral:rRNA from 1 species